rnacentral:misc_RNA from 1 species
GAUGAAGAACGUAGUGAAAUGCGAUAAUUAAUGUGAAUUGCAGAAUUUAGUGAAUCAUCGAAUCUUUGAACGCACAUUGCGCCCCUUGGUAUUCCGGGGGGCAUGCCUGUUCGAGCGUCAUUUCAACCCUCAAGCACUGCUUGGUCUUGGGCCACGCCGGCGACGGCAGGCCUCAAACGUAGUGGCGGCACCAUCGGUUCCCUCAGUGUAGUAAUAUCUCUCGCUGCUGGGCCCUGGUGGUCGCUAGCCAGCAACCUCAAUUUUUUCUGGUUGACCUCGGAUCAGGUAGGGAUACCCGCUGAACUUAAGCAUAUCAAUAAGCGGAGGA